ensembl:lncRNA
AUAAAAUGGAAUGGAGGACAAAUUAACCAUUCCACACAACAGGACUGGUACAGCUGUGGAGUGUUUGUCAUGCAGAUGGCAAAAGAAGUUGUUGGUGCAUUUCUAGAUAUCCCUUGCCAUUUGACUAUAAACUCAUCCAAGGAGCACAUGGAGCAUCUGCGACUGACAGUGGCAGAGGAACUUCUGAAAGCCUCAGUAUUCAAGAGGGGACAUUACUGCUCAUUAUGUGCUGACUCAAAAUCCCCGGGUGGUGGUGCAAAAACAUUUUGGAUUGAAUGUCACUGCUGCAAGAGCUGGUUUCGUGCGGCAUGCCUUUCUGUGUCAGAGAAGCAGUUCAAAAGGGCUCAAAAGGUUGACUGGAAGUGCUGCCUAUAUUUGUUUCUGCACGAUACAACGAUUUUCAAAAAUGAGGAGGAAUCACAAAGAGACACCUCAGCAUCAAGCUAUGCUGGGAUUAAGGAGUAGUAAAAUGGACAGAGCAAGAGAAGGAGUGGCGAUGACGUUCGCUCCAGAAUUGAGUAACAGGCCUACAAAUCAAGAUUUCUGCCAGGAAACUGCACGACCUGAGGAAGUUCUGGCACAUGGGGAAAAUAGCAUGUGCACUACGGCAAAGAAGAAUAUCCGCUUACGUGUCGCUAACACAACCAGAAAGAAAUCAGUCAAACCCAGAAAGACCAUAGAAGUAUUUGGACAAGCAGGUGCUGGACCUGCAGCAAAGAGCCCUGGGAAACCAAAACUUCUUCCUAGAAAGCCCAGAAUGGAUCCGAUUGGUCAUCCCUCAUUUAGAGCACUGAUGCGCAGGGAAAAGUUAAGCAAAACAUCCAGCAAUCCUCAGGUACUUACAGGUACUACAGAGGUAAAGAGUAAGUAUCUUGAGCCUACAAUUAAGGUAGAACCUCAAUUAAGAACUAACAUUACUGAUGCUGUCCUGGAUUGCAUAACCUCUGGAUCGUUCAAGAAUCAGCUCACUCUGCGCAUUGUGGGUGAAAUUGAUGAUAUACUAGCAAAAGCUGUGUCCCAGGUUCACAAGCAACAGCAUCCCGUGAGAUUCAGUGCAGCAGGGGAUAAGAUAAACAACAUCUCCCGGGAACAACAAUCAAGCAACAAUGUUUUCAUGCCUGGCUUCAGUGAUGGUGUGGCAUCUAUGAUUGGUUGUGCACUGAUAGAACUUAGAGAAGAUGUGAAAAAAACUUUUACAAGCCAGUCACACGAAUUUCAGACAGCCUCACCAACGGCAUGCGAUUCUACAACAGAAAUAGUGGAGAGUCUCUUUGAAAGUAUGCUUGAUUCCUUGAUUCCUCAACUGAAACCAGAUGUUAGCACUGAAAAGGAUCCUAGCACGAUUGAUUCUCUUUAUAGCUAUGAGUUUGAUACAGUGUCUGAUAGUAUCCUUCCCAGCACUGACUCAGAUGUCAACCAGAGUCCAGUCCAUGAGCCAAGAGGAGGUGCUGAUGACGAGUCUAGCAUCACAGCUCAGGACAUUGAGACAUUAGACAUUGUGAAAGAGAGAGCUGACUCCCCAAGAAGAUCUACCAAAGUCCCAUUCUCCACAGUAUUUGACCAGUCUUCUGGACCUGAAGUUAAGGCCAAAGAUGAGGUUGAGGGCAUCUUGGCUGCUUCUGGAAGCAUGAGCCCCCUUGAUGACCCUCUGACUUCAAGAGUCAAAUCUGACUCCUAUUUGGAUGCAAGCGUUCUUGAGGUCACUGCUACUUCUUCAACAGAAAAUGUUGACCACAUGUCAAGAUCUGAUGAAGUUGCAGAAGAAGGACUUUUGGCUAAAUCAGAUGUUGAGCUUGAGCAAAUCAUGGCUGCUCCUUCUGAGGAAAACACUCCUUCUGACAUUACAUCCCAAAGCCUUCACCAGGAAUGUACUAGCCCUGUCCCUUCACCACCUUCUAGUGAUAAGCCAACCUCCCCAAGAGGAUCUGCCAGGAGAAGGGCAUGUCCUGUAAAAGUCAGCUCUUUGCCAAACAUAUUCUCUGACAGAGGAGAUGGCAUCUUUGACCAGUCUCACCAAAAGUUAGAGAGUGUUGACAAGCGUAGACUUUCUCUGACUGGCAUGGAAAUGGGUUCUUCUGAAAACAGAAGCGGCCUUGAUGGGCCUCUGAGUUCAUCUGAAGCAUCUGAUGUUGAAGAAGCUGCAGCAAAAUCAGCUGGUUACAAAGCAGUACUCUGUUGAAAUUAUUCUGAUGUAUUAAAUUAGUGCAAAUAAAUGAACCAUCCAUUCAUUAUCUUUUUACACUGUUCUUUCUUGUUUCCAAAUUGUAGCCUCCCCAAGAAGAUUGUUGUGGGAAAUAAUCUUUCCAGCUUAACAAAAAACUUCAGAGACAGAGGGUUUGUAGCUGUCAAAAAGUAAUUAAACCAGUG